rnacentral:rRNA from 1 species
UACGUAGGGUGCGAGCGUUGUCCGGAAUUAUUGGGCGUAAAGAGCUCGUAGGCGGUUUGUCACGCCUGCUGUGAAAUCCCGAGGCUCAACCUCGGGCCUGCAGUGGGUACGGGCAGACUAGAGUGUGGUAGGGGAGACUGGAAUUCCUGGUGUAGCGGUGAAAUGCGCAGAUAUCGGGAGGAACACCGGUGGCGAAGGCGGUUCUCUGGGCCUUACCUGACGCUGAGGAGCGAAAGCGUGGGGAGCGAACAGG